rnacentral:rRNA from 1 species
GACGAACGCUGGCGGCGCGCUUAACACAUGCAAGUCGAGCGAUGAAACUUUAACAGAACCCUUCGGGGCGAAGAUAAAGUGGAUUAGCGGCGGACGGGUGAGUAACACGUGAGUAACCUGCCUUAGACAUUGGGAUAGCCUCGGGAAACCGGGAUUAAUACCAAAUAAAAUCAUAAUGACACAUGUCAUAACGAUCAAAACUCCGGUGGUCUAAGAUGGACUCGCGUCCCAUUAGCUAGUUGGUAGAGUAAAAGCCUACCAAGGCGACGAUGGGUAGCCGGCCUGAGAGGGUGAACGGCCACAUUGGAACUGAGAAACGGUCCAAACUCCUACGGGAGGCAGCAGUGGGGAAUAUUGCACAAUGGAGGGAACUCUGAUGCAGCGACGCCGCGUGAACGAAGAAGGCUUUCGAGUCGUAAAGUUCUUUUAUAUGGGAAGAUAAUGGCGGUACCAUAAGAAAAAGCCCCGGCUAACUACGUG